UUCUCAUGAAGUAAUCAUGAGUAAAAUCUGCUCAAUGUAAAUAAAUAGCCGCAGUCCAUCUGUGCUAAGGUAGCAUAAUCACUUGUUUCUUAAUUAGGAAAAUAGAAUGAAAGAUUGAACAUUUAACUAACUUUACUCCUAUCAUCCCAAAACUAUGUUAAGAAAUAAAAACACUCUUAUAAUCUAAUAAGACGACAAGACCCUAUUGAACUUCACAACUUGUUAAGCUGGGGCAGCUGAUAAAUCACUAUUUUUAUUAUUUAUUUAAAAAUAAACAACCAAUAAAUUUGAUUAAUUAAGUUACCUUAGGGAUAACAGCGUGAUAUUCUAUUACAGAUCAUAUUUAAUAGAAAAAUUACGACCUCGAUGUUGAAUACUAUAUUUCAGCGCGCAACCGCGCUGAAAAAUGGGUCUGUUCGACCCUUAAAAAGGUACA
rnacentral:rRNA from 1 species